rnacentral:rRNA from 1 species
UGGCGUACUGCUCAGUAACACGUGGAUAACCUGCCCUUAGGUCUGGCAUAACCCCGGGAAACUGGGGAUAAUUCCAGAUAGAUCAUAGAUGCUGGAAUGCCCUGUGAUCCAAAGCUUUUGUGCCUAAGGAUGGGUCUGCGGUCUAUCAGGUUGUAGUGGGUGUAAUGUACCUACUAGCCUACGACGGAUACGGGUUGUGGGAGCAAGAGCCCGGAGAUGGAUUCUGAGACAUGAAUCCAGGCCCUACGGGGCGCAGCAGGCGCGAAAACUUUACAAUGCGGGAAACCGCGAUAAGGGGACACCGAGUGCCAGCAUCCUAUGUUGGCUGUCCAUAUGUCUAAAUCACAUGUGUUAGCAAGGGCCGGGCAAGACCGGUGCCAGCCGCCGCGGUAACACCGGCGGCCCGAGUGGUGGCCACUAUUAUUGGGUCUAAAGGGUCCGUAGCCGGUUUGGUCAGUCUUCCGGGAAAUCUGACGGCUCAACCGUUAGGCUUUCGGGGGAUACUACCAGGCUUGGGACCGGGAGAGGUAAGAGGUACUACGGGGGUAGGA